AAACGAAAUGUAUACGCUCUUGGGUACUAAAAUCUUGGAGUAAAUCAUUUGAAUAAUACUGCCUAGAAAUUUGAAGAACCAUUAAAAUAAAUGUGUGGUGUGUCCAAAGAGAGAAGCAGGUGAUAGAAGAGAGGAGUGGACGGCAUUUAAAGUGAGCAUGGCCGCGCCCCAUCCCUGGGGAGUCUGUAAUCUUGGACCUCCAGGCUUGUUGCUUUAGAAAGCUCUUUUCUGUAAGUGCGAGCAAUGUCUUCAGCUGAUCCCACAUCUUUGAGUUGGCCUUCAGGUCCGAGGGCUUUUCUUCCCACGUUUUACAGGCUGUAUUCCUGCAGGUGAGCUGUUUCUUCGUAGACACUGUUGCCUCCACCCAAGCGUUAGGACUUUGUCCACACAGUUGUGCUAAGAGUAUAUGUGUUGCUGUUCCGGAAACGGGUCCUUUGGGAGUUGGUCCAGCUCUGCACCUGUCUGCUAAGGAGCCAGGGGGGAUCCUGUUCAGUUGCGGUGGGAGUUGCCCUCUUAUUCACUCAUUCACAGGGUGGGUGAGUGGGAGAAAAGGUUUUCCCCUUGCCUUCUUAUAGCAGCACUGAACACGAAGCUUCUUGGUGGACAUGGAGCCCGUGUUUAGCAAGGCCCCGGCUCCCAUGCCCAGCACCAUAAAACCGUAAAAACUUCGGCAUUAGAAUUUUUUGAGCCUGAGAAAUCCAUGAGCAGAAGAACAUCAAAAUAAUCACCACACUGUUCGACACCACCAAACGGAAUGAACCUGCUCAGAAUAUAGACUUCCUAAAAUAUAAUAAAAAUGAAAGCCAGGUGCGGGGGGGGGGGGGGAGGACAAGACAGAUAGACAGACAGAUGGACAGGCAGCCAAAGGCAGCCAAGCAGAGAGGUGUACAGCAGCCAGCUCCUCCAGGUUGAUGUUUUGAGGAUGUCAGAGGUGACCACAGCCUUCGCCCCACAGACACUUGCUUUCCGUUAAGGAGUCGUGCUUGGGGGAUAUAAAUGCCCACGGUCGUGUGGCAAACACACAGCCGUAACCCAAGUGUGAGACACACGUUCCUGUGCUUUCUUCACUGGCUAUUCACUUCCUGGGUAAACCGCCAGCCACCAGCUCAAACUGUGAUCAGGGAACAGUGGGCAGAAUGACAGGCGCUCCUAAAAGCCACGAGGCAGCCUCGUCUUUGAGGCUCUAGACUCAAUGUGACACAAGCAGUGGACUGGGCAUCACCCUGGAGCAAGAGGACAGGGAAUUGGACUUAAGCCAUUGCCCUAUACCCGCUGACUGUUUUGGAAACUGAGGCUCUGAGGAGUUUCAGGCUGACAAGAACUAGAUCUGUUUCUAGCAUUAGACAUUAUAGCUAGAAGGCUUUAUACAUUCUUUUUAAUUCCUAAAAAAUAGUAUUCCCAUUAUACAAGUACAUACUUUUAUUAAAAAACAAACAAACUGUAUUUUCCAGAGCCAAGGGUAUUGCAUAAGAAGGGCGCUGUUUUGGAACUCCACAGAUCUUUCAGUGUAGGCCGUAAUGGAAGACAGCUGAGUCUCCUAUCUGCUUUAGGCUUAAUUAGAAUCUGCCAAAAUAUGCUGUCUUGGUUGUAGCUGAUGAAGAAAAUCUGGCCUCACCCAGAUAUGUAAGUGGAAAAGGAGGCACACUUGGGCAGUGUUUUAGAUAAUGACGGCUUUGUUUGAGCCCCGUCAUAAGUGGAGUUUAAGAUCUUUGAAGGGGUCUGGGAGAUGGUUCAGCAACGUAGAACACUGGCUGCUCUUGUAGAGGAACUGAGUUGAGUUCCCAGAACUCAAGUGGUGGCUCACAACUGCUAGUUACUGUCCCCGAGUGACCCGAUGUCCUCUUCUAGUUUCCUCAGACACCCGGAGGCACGUGCACACACAUAGACAAACAUGCACUUACAUUUUUAAAGGUUGAUUGCCAUGUGGAAUCUGAAAACAUCGGGAUGUCCGAGGUGGUGGCACUUUUAGGCGAGUUUUGGGCCUGCCAUGCUUGAGGCUCACAUGUGGGGAGGUUUCAGUGAUGACUGAGGCCCCAGGACCUUCACAGCUUAGCCAUGCCCACUCCUCCCCAGGCAUCAACAACCUUGGUGCUCCGGUCAGAGGCAAAUCCCACCUCCUCCAGGAAUGUUUCUCUCACCUCCUUAAGCCUCAGGAGUAGCUUUGCUUUCUCAUAUCUAGCAAUGCGGAUGUCAAUAGUUUAGUUAGCACUAAACCGUAGCUGCUGUCAGUUUUAGGUUAAUACUAAAAAUAAAAAUGUCUAGGGAUUAGCUUAGGUCCUUGAAGAGUUUCUUGAAUAAAUUUUGUUUUUCCCACAAGAAGCAAAAGCAAAAAUUAUGUUUCCCAAUCUAGGGUUCAUGGAUAAACUUGUCAGGGUGUGUGCACACCCAAAAACUGUAAAUAAAAUUGUGGCUCUCUGUGCCUGAAGUAUUUUUCUUAUGUGUUAUUAAUCCUCUCAUUCCUCUCUCAGAGAUGAAAACAACCAAGCCUGGCAGCUAUACUCAUAUUGACCUUUGGAGGGAGGUAAAGCACAGAUUAGCUAGACAUGACCAGAAAAGCCAGUGGAUGGGCGCUCCGGCCUCUGACCUAAGAGCCUGUCUCACUUCCCUCAGUUGUGCCAAUGGGCUCUCCUCUCCUCUGCUUUGUGGUCACCGUGGAACUCCGACUACCAGGUCAUUUCAGCAAAGGUGGUCUGCUUGGGAGACAGCCCUUCAUCUAGUCUGCCCCAUGAAAAUAUCUGGCUAGUUUUCUAAAUAAGGGAAGCUGGACAAAUGUCUUACAGACGGCACCCAAUGUAAGAUGAGACAUGUUUCUCAUAUGUAGAAGUGACACAUAGAAUUACUGGCACAGGAGAGAUUGGUGGAAUUUUGAAUCUGCAUCUUCUCCUGGGUUGGACAUAUGCAGUCUAAUCCCCCCUCAUUAUGCCAGGCCACUGUGGCAGCAGCAGCCCCAGGCAGUGCCAGGAUCCUGAGGGGAUGUGGUUGAUCAUCUCCAGUGUGCUGUGCUCUAAAAUCUGCUAUACAUUAGAGUAUUCUAUAAAGUCUCAGCCUUUGGAGUGUACAGGAGCCCCUGUCAGAGCGUGCCGGCUUCUCACUUCACUCAUAGUUAAUAAGGAUGCAUGAAUUCCCACUUUAGAAUCAAGGAAUACAGUACUGACAAGUUGGGUAAAAUCUGGGCCUCUGCUUUUUAUCCACAACAUGUAAUGUGACCCUUGGCUAAGGAGUAAGCCCUCAAAUUUAGAGGCAGUAGCUCACGUAUGU
rnacentral:lncRNA from 1 species